GACGGAGGAUGCAAGCGUUAUCCGGAAUGAUUGGGCGUAAAGCGUCCGCAGGUGGCCGUUCAAGUCUGCUGUCAAAGACCGGGGCUUAACUUCGGAAAGGCAGUGGAAACUGAACAGCUAGAGUAUGGUAGGGGCAGAGGGAAUUCCUGGUGUAGCGGUGAAAUGCGUAGAGAUCAGGAAGAACACCCGUGGCGAAGGCGGCUCUCUGGUACGUGACUGACGCUGAGACGCGAAAGCGUGGGGAGCGAACAGG
rnacentral:rRNA from 1 species